rnacentral:tRNA from 1 species
GGGGUCAUGGUGUAAUGGUAUCACGGUAGGCUCCAGACCUGCAGAUCGGGGUUCGAUUCCUCGUGGCCCCA